rnacentral:tRNA from 1 species
GCGAGGGUGGCGGAAUAGGCAGACGCGCACGUUUGAGGGGCGUGUGGUUAACCCCGUGCCGGUUCAAGUCCGGUCCUUCGCACCA